ensembl:snRNA U6 U6 spliceosomal RNA
GUGCUUCCUUCAGCAGCACAUAUGCUAAAAUAUGAUUGAUGCAGAGAAGAUUAGCAUGGCCCCUGAGCAAGGAUGACAUGAAAAUUCGUGAAGCAUUCCAUAUUUUU